AAAGAUCAUUGGGGUCCUCAGUCACCCCAACCACAAACUGUUCCAGCUGCUACCAUCCGGGAAGCGGUACCGCAGCCUAAAAGCCAGGACCAACAAGCUCCAGGACAGCUUCUUCCAUAAGGUUCUUUUGAAGACCCUGACCUGGAGUUACACACUGACUUCGGUUCUUUGUGAGAAUGGGACCUGCUUUCAGGCUUCCAUAACCGUUCGGCAUGCCAAGGUUUCGGCCUGAGAGUCCGGCUCGAAUUUGAAAGUCUAAGAUCUUGGAGCUCUGGAGACAGGUGGAUCGAGGUUCAGUGACAUGACCAAACAUCAGAAUAA